AACGAACGCUUGCGGCGUGCUUAACACAUGCAAGUCGAACGAGAAAGGGACUUCGGUCCUGAGUAAAGUGGCGCACGGGUGAGUAACGCGUAGGUAAUCUACCCCUGUGUUCGGGACAACAUCGGGAAACUGGUGCUAAUACCGGAUACGUUUCACGGAUUGCGAGAUAAGUGAAGGAAAGAUGGCGAUCUCUUCGGAGAGCUAUUGCACGGGGAUGAGCCUGCGUACCAUUAGCUAGUUGGUGGGGUAAGAGCCUACCAAGGCGACGAUGGUUAGCGGGUCUGAGAGGAUGAUCCGCCACACUGGAACUGGAACACGGUCCAGACUCCUACGGGUGGCAG
rnacentral:rRNA from 1 species